rnacentral:rRNA from 1 species
AGCGUAGACGGUGUGGCAAGUCUGAUGUGAAAGGCAUGGGCUCAACCUGUGGACUGCAUUGGAAACUGUCAUACUUGAGUGCCGGAGGGGUAAGCGGAAUUCCUAGUGUAGCGGUGAAAUGCGUAGAUAUUAGGAGGAACACCAGUGGCGAAGGCGGCUUACUGGACGGUAACUGACGCUGAGGCUCGAAAGUAUGGUAGCAAACA